rnacentral:rRNA from 1 species
AUUGAACGCUGGCGGCAUGCCUUACACAUGCAAGUCGAACGGUAACGGGCCUUCGGGUGCCGACGAGUGGCGAACGGGUGAGUAAUAGGUAGGAGACCUACCUCAUACAGGGGGAUAGCAUAGAGAAAUCUGUGGUAAUACCCCAUGAGGUUAUAUGAAUAGAGGCAUAUAAUCAAAGCAUAAGCGAUUAUGCGGUAUGAGAGGGGCCUACUGACCAUUAGCUAGUUGGUGAGGUAAGGGCUCACCAAGGCGAAGAUGGUUAGGGGUUUUGAGAGAGAGACCCCCCACAUUGGAACUGAGAGACGGUCCAGACUCCUACGGGAGGCAGCAGUAGGGAAUAUUGCACAAUGGACGAAAGUCUGAUGCAGCAACGCCGCGUGCGGGAUGAAGGCCUUCGGUUGUAAACCGCUUUCACCAGGGACGAAUGUGACGGUACCUGGAGAAGAAGACACCGGCUAACUACGUGCCAGCAGCCGCGGUAAUG